rnacentral:rRNA from 1 species
GAUGAACGCUGGCGGCGUGCCUAAUACAUGCAAGUCGAGCGAACAGACGAGGAGCUUGCUCCUCUGACGUUAGCGGCGGACGGGUGAGUAACACGUGGAUAACCUACCUAUAAGACUGGGAUAACUUCGGGAAACCGGAGCUAAUACCGGAUAAUAUAUUGAACCGCAUGGUUCAAUAGUGAAAGACGGUUUUGCUGUCACUUAUAGAUGGAUCCGCGCCGCAUUAGCUAGUUGGUAAGGUAACGGCUUACCAAGGCAACGAUGCGUAGCCGACCUGAGAGGGUGAUCGGCCACACUGGAACUGAGACACGGUCCAGACUCCUACGGGAGGCAGCAGUAGGGAAUCUUCCGCAAUGGGCGAAAGCCUGACGGAGCAACGCCACGUGAGUGAUGAAGGUCUUCGGAUCGUAAAACUCUGUUAUUAGGGAAGAACAAAUGUGUAAGUAACGAUGCACGUCUUGACGGUACCUAAUCAGAAAGCCACGGCUAACUACGU